rnacentral:rRNA from 1 species
AACGAACGCUGGCGGCGUGGAUAAGACAUGCAAGUCGAACGAGAGUUUGUUUAUAGCAAUAUGAGCGAACUUUAGUGGCGAAAGGGUGCGUAACACGUGGCUAUCUACCUUGAAGUGGGGGAUAUCUCCGAGAAAUCGGAGUUAAUACCGCAUGUGACCGUAAGGUCAAAGCUGGGGAUCGUAAGACCUGGCGCUUUGAGAUGAGGCUGCGGCCUAUCAGGUAGUUGGCGGGGUAAUGGCCCACCAAGCCUAAGACGGGUAGCUGGUCUGAGAGGACGACCAGCCACACUGGAACUGAGACACGGUCCAGACACCUACGGGUGGCAGCAGUCGAGGAUUUUUCUCAAUGGGGGAAACCCUGAAGGAGCGACGCCGCGUGAGGGAUGAAGGUCUUCGGAUUGUAAACCUCUGUCAUCUGGGAACAAUGUAAUCUACCUAACACGUGGAUUAUUGAUAGUACCGGAAGAGGAAGCAGUGGCUAACUCUGUG